rnacentral:lncRNA from 1 species
CUAGUGGAGGUAAAAGGACAAAGUCAACUAUGUUAGUAUAAGCUUUCAGCAGCAUGUCAGUGUGUCAGCCUGAGUUUUUGUAGAGAGUUUUGGUGUUUCCUGUCACUGUGGGCUGCAGAGCACAGUAGUACACAGCAGAGUCAGUCACUGCAGCAGAGGAGAUCCUCAGAUUCAUUUGAGUUUUAUCCUCACUCAUGGAAGCAGACAGUCCAGACACUGGAGCUAAAAGUGUUCCUGUUGAUGUGUGAGAGAUGAGAAACUGUGGUUGUUUUCCUGGAUUUUGUCGAUACCAGAAGAAAUAAUCAUUAAGAGCAGCAGCUCUGGAGUAAUUGUUGGACAGAGUAACUGAGCUGCUCUCUAAUUUGAAGUCUUCAGUCUGAAAUGUUGUGAGUUCUUCACACAUGAAUGAAAAGAUGAGCUUUCUAUGAUUUCAUGUUUCAGUUCAGGCACAGCAGCACAGAUCUUCAGAAACCUUCAGUGUUUACCUUCAGAGAGUUUAAGCAGCUGUAGUCCUGAUGAUCAGGAGCUCAGAUGGUUUUUCAAAAACUGCACCUGAGAAGAACUCACCCCUGUAGAGUGAGACUACUUUGUUCUGAUCCGUCUUCUUCCUGUCUGGUAGACCUGGAUUAUUCACAGCUGACACCAGAGAAGGAUCUGACUGUGGCUGGACCCGGAUCUCCACAUUCUGGACCUAAAGCUCUUGUGUGUCUCAUGUGUCUCUGCUGCCCUCUGCUGGACUGACAUCUGGAACAGUCAGUUGAACAGUCCUGUCACUUUGUCACAGCUUGUUUUAUCUGUUUGUUUUUUUUUACUCCUCACUCUUUAAGUUAUUUUGGGUGGUCUCAUCCGUGAACUCCUGACAGUCCACUGUACACAGAUGGACCCUGAGGCAUCUCCUCAAAAGUGCAGCCCAAACAUUUGGAGUUUUCUCUGCUGGCUGCAGUAUGCCUAUCAAGCCGUCCUCCAUGUAAACAGAUGAAAUAUGGAACAAAACAAUAAAAAUUAAAAUUCACAUUAAAGGUGGUGUAGUCAUGAUCUGAGGAAGUUCCAGUUUUUAGGAGAAAUCUUGAAUGUAAACUCUACCCCUACCAACCAGUUUUCCCCUCAGCUCCUCCUCUCCCCUCAAGCCCCGCCCACAAACAGACGCUCCUGCUCGCUCGUAUCGUUCCAGUUAAAUUCAGAUAUAAUGCAGAUAAAUCCUUCAGAUCAUUACAAAUGGGGCCCAGUCAAGGUGAAAGUCAAAAGCAUUGGUGCUACUGUAGAUGCCAACAGACUACCAGCAAACACAAUGUUUGCAGGACUUCUACAACGAGGAUAAAGUGACAUAGUCCAGGACCCGAGGGAGGACAGUUUAGCGAUGGCGCUACAACACGCUACAGCAGGUCCGUUUGACAAGAAACACUUCUGUUACAGACACUUGUCUUACUUUGUUAAAGCGGUUUACCUGUCCAGCAGAAAGGUUACAGGGUCACCAAGAUCCCCAAGCGUCCCCCAUGGUUUAUGUUGACCCGGCUUUUUAGCUCUUGUCUGAUCUACCUCCGUUUUAAGCGCCCGUUAUUCCUCCAGAGUCGGCAGUCGUGGCCAAAGGAGGAUUCAGACAAUUUUCCGAACUUUCUGGUUGGUUUCUACUGUCCGAUAUUGUAGCACGCUAACUUUGUUUGGGCUCCUGAACGACACGGGGGAGCAGCGUCUGCCUCACAACCAAUCAGGUUAGAGGAGGUGGAGAACGUCUUUGUUUACAGUCAGAAAGAGCGGACCGCUCAAAAAUGUUCAAAUGUUGACGACACAGACAUAAGAGAACACAGAGAUAUCGAUAUAUUACCAAAUGUCAUCAAUAACUAAUAACUAUUGACUGAUAUUAGAAGAUUUUUUGUAUUAAAACCACAAAAUAAAAAGAUGCUUCUUUAACAGAAUCCUGCCUACUCCACCUUUAAAUCAUGAGGAUGAGGUGUCUUCAGGUAAAAUAAGACGAUUGUUAAAGGACUCAAAGAAGAGAACCGAGAAAACCCAUCAGAAAAACCUGAGCAGCUCUGUUCCUGGACAGCAGGUCUCUCCGUGGUCAUGAUGAUCAUGAUGGAAAGCUGCUGUCUUAUAAAUGAGAAAAAGUCCGUUUGUAGUCGAUGGUUCUUACUGCUGAGGCGAGGUUACCUGAUGAGGAUCUCAUCACCAGAGAGGAUGGUCCUCAAAAGACUUGAUGAUUUAAUUCUCAUCAUUUUAAAACCUCGUUAUUUAAAAAAUAAAUCUAAAUCUUUGAUCUUACACUGAUGUUUAUUUCCUUCCUUCUGACCUGGUCUUCUCAGUGGGGUGUGUGGGUCUUCAGGGUCACUCUUUGGUUCUGUUUUCUUCAGGUUCUCACACAAACAAAGAUAAACCACUUAAACUGAUCCCACAUCCGUUUGUUUGC